UUUUCUCAGUUCAUUGCCCCUAUUAUGUUCCCGGCCGUUGUUCCUUGGAUAUUGUAAUUUCAAUGCCUCUAGUACGUCUUCAAGUGCGGCAGAAUAUUCUAACCUGCACCUGAUUGUGCAAAUUCCCACAGUGUCUCUCAUCUGCCGUCCCGUGGGCCGUAUUGAGAUCCAUUGGGUAUUUCCCUGUGGAUUCCAUUGACUGAGGCAGUUUCAAUUUUCUCAGUUCAUUGCCCCUAUUAUGUUCCCGGCUGUUGUUCCUUGGAUAUUGUAAUUUCAAUGCCUCUAGUACGUCUUCAAGUGCGGCCGAAUAUUCCAACCUGCAACUGAUGUUGCCUUUGCCCACAGUCUCUGGUUGAUUUAAAAGGUAAAAACUCACCUGCCGUCGCGUUGGCCGUAAUGAGAUCUAUUAGGUAUUCCCCCUGUGGAUUCCAUCAACUGCAGUUAUAUUUUUCUCAGUUCGUUGCCCGUAUUACUUUCCCGGCCGUUGUUCAUUCGUUAGCUUAGUUUUAACAGCGGCCAGCCAAUGAAAAUGAGCGGCCGUCAAGCCACAUGACCCAGCGGUGACGUCGCGUGAUUAAUCGACCAAUCAGAGAUCGGCGUCCAAUUUCAACCAUGCUCUCUAGUUCUUGGGUAACUAGAGACAGCCCUGUUGAAAUUCGUCCGUUUGAAAAUGGCAGACCAAAGUGUUUGACCUCACACGCACCAAGUGCAUACACGCAGAAACUGGUAACAGUACUAUCAUGCAAUUAAGAGGAACCCGAGUCAGAGACUUCCUCUGAUUCCCCCUCGCGGAUCCGCGGUUUCAAUCUGUCAUUAGCCAGGAGAAAAUCAACACAGGCCUGCCAGGUUAAUUUACUGUGGAUGAAGUCGCGGAGCGAUCUUGGCGUAUGACCAAGUUCCUUUCCAGCAAUAAAUAACAGGCGAGUUCUAAGGGAAUCGAGACUGUCACACUCGAGCAAAUUAUGUUCAAGAGUUUCCUCCGCCCCAGAGUCGCAGUAGAGGCAGGUGGGAUCAUCAAUAAAUCCCAUUUUGUGGGAAAAGCUGUCUGUCCAAGUGUGUCCGGACAGCAGACCUACAACGACGUGCAUGCUGGGAAUGAUGAACGCAAACUUUUUGUCUAAGAGACUCAUUGGAGUGAGGCCAAAGCGGGUGCAGAUGGGGCGAGAGGUGGUGUCGAAUCUGCUCUGCCAAGCCGCCCACGCCUGUUUGCGUGCUGUGGAUUCAAGUUUUGACAGCGGCGCGAGGCAGUAGCAGCUCGGGAGAUCAGACCCAGCUCCAUCCUUCGCGAGCACAUCUGCAACGUCGUUGCCGACGAUUCCGCUAUGCCCUUUGAUCCAGCGUAUGGAGCAUCUAUUCCCAUUGCGGUUCAGUUGUGAAAUCAACAACAAGGCCCUGUUAAUCAGGAAGUUGCCUGUCCUGCAGUUGAGGACUGAGUUCACAACCGAAAGAUUGUCCAGGAGAACCUCAAUUAUGGUAUUAAUGGGGAGCUCUGAAGCGUUCUCAAGUGCUUUGAUCAAACCAAAUGCUUCGGCUUGGAAGACAGAACAGUAACAUGACAAAACAUAACAGAUACGCAAUUCAUGCAGGUUGUCAUUCACACACACUCUAUAAAUCUGCGCCAACUCCAUCAUUGGUCUUGGAGCCGUCUGUAUAGUAGGUGACCUCGGGUGGUAGUUCAGGAAUAUUACUGGGAAGGAAAAAGAAAGGUGGAUACGGCAGAGGUUGAGGAGAGGGAGGAGUUUCAACCGGAAAUUCAGCAUCCACGUAACCAUAUUUUUUAAGAUACAGUUCCGUUUUGACACCAAUUUCUAGGUCAAGGGGAGAACACAAGAUAAGGAGAUAAGGGAGGAGUUGUUAGUUGUUUUAAAAGCACGGCAAGCUAAGACAUGAAAGGACGUUGCGUACUUAGUAAGAGUUUUUUGGAGCAUUCAGAAAGAUUGGGAAACCAUACUGGGGAGGCGUAAGCCACCACGGGAAUAACAACCUGCAAGUACAGCAUUCUCAAGGCUCGGAAUCCAAAACCAAAGUUGAAAUUAGCGGCUGCUGACAGGCGCGGUAGCAUGCCGCGGACUUUGGAGCACACUUCAGUAACGUGCUGGUGGAAAGUCAAACGGCUGUCGAACCUCACACCAAGCACCCUAAUGGAGUCGCUCCAUUGGACGACCUGGCCAUUGCGGGGUUUUUGAACAAACAUAGCCUGGCAUUUAUUCACACUGAGCUCAAGUUUAUGUAAUCCACACCAAUUGGUGAUCAGAUCAAUGGCGGGUUGUGCCUUAGACUGUUGACCAUGCCUCAAUCCCGAGAUCACAACAACCAGGUCAUCUGCGUAGGCCUGUGGAUAUACACAUUUCUUGUACCCCAGUGUGAGUAAUUCAUCAAAGACGAUAUUCCAAAGGAAGGGCCCGAGAACUGAACCUUGUGGAUAUCCUUUGGAGACGCGUCUAGUGACAGUGGAUCCAUUUACAUACAGUCUGACAGAGCGAUGGUCCAGGAACGAGCGAAUUAAAUCGUGGACGUUCUUAAGACAAUCGCUUUUACGCAGGGCCCGCAAUAUGCUAGAGUGUAGCACAUUAUCAAAGGCACCUUUGACAUCAAAAGAGAGAAGAAUAGCAGUUUAAUGUAAGUUUAGCGACCAGGAGAGGAAAUUUUUUAAUUUUAUGAGUGCGGCGAUGGUUGAUUUACAGGGCCUGAAACCGAACUGGUUUGGCUGGGCUUUACACAUUCUCUCAGCCCUCCACGAUAACCUAGUCAGGAUUAGACGCUCGAGAAUUUUACCUAGACUAGGCAACAUCGUGAUGGGCCUAUGAGACGCGAGAAAGUCCUCACCACCUUUUUUGGGGAUCAAAACUACAUCGCCCAAUUUCCAGGGAGUUGGAAAAUGUCCAGUUUCAAGACACCUGUUAAAAAUUUUCAGAAAAAACGUCCGGAAUUUUCUAAUCAGUUUAACACAAACAACAGGUGGCAUGCCAUCACUACCAGGGGAAGAAGAUAAGCGAACCUUAUCCGCGGCCAGCUGCAGCUCAGCUUCUGAGAACAGAGGAUCGUUAUCAGAAGUAGACUGCAUGGCUCUAUGUAAAUUAUUAUGCCCUACCAUGGAAUCGGGCGGGACUCGGCCGAAAUAAUGCUGUAAUACGUGGUCUAAGGUCUCCCGCUGACUAACAGUGAAGCCGGCGCCGACCGCGAGGGAGGAGAGAGGUUUUUUCUUUUGCUUUCCUCUGAUGAAUUGAUAAACACCGCCCCAAGGGUUGACUUCGCACUGCGAGCAGACUCUUCUCCACUCCUCCUGCUUAGCUUUUCUGAUCGCAGCACGAAAUCUGUUAUAAAGCUUUUUGUGAAAGACCUUUAACACACUUCUGACGGCCCCGCGAGCGCGUCUCCACGCACGCUCGGCCUUCAGAGUGGCCCUUUGGAGCAGAUUUAAUUCCAGUUUCCACCAAGAUGCAUUUUUUAUUUUGCAAGGUUUAUUUGGCUUGGAAGGAAUGGUCUGUAUGCAUGAAUGAAACACCUCGUCACUAAGUAAUGUAAUAACAUUAUCUAGUUGAGAUGUGUCACUCCUCAUGUUCUGGUUGAUCGCGUUCCAAUCAGCGAUCCUGUCCACGAGCCGCCUUCUGCCACCUAUGUUCAGAAUAAAACUAAACAUACUCCCCUCCUGUGGACGUAGUACACACACAAGGCAAAAGAAAAGGAUCACAUAGUGUAGAAAGUUUUUUUUUUUUGAAGAAGAAGAAUUAGAAUGGCAGAAGUGCAAUCUUCGAGAUGGGUCUUAUUAGAUGAUGUUGUUUCUCUGUUUGAAGUUCCACAACUCGGACAUUGCCAUCCGCUCCAGGUGACACCUUGGUGAUGCGGCCAAGGCUCCACUGCAUUGAAGGCAUAGGAAUGUCUUUCUUUUUUCAUGACAAACUUCUUUUGGAAGUUCAUAUGUGAUUGGUAGCGGAUCUUGUAAACUUGAGUUUGAUAGCCAAUCAGGACCAUUCCACCAAAGUGAAUGGUUUACUAGUUCUGAAGAAGUUAUACCUCUGGAGGCGCAAUCUGCAGGAUUAUCCUUGGUAGACACAUAGUACCAAGAAGAUUGCAGAGUUAGUCGCUGAAUUUCUGCAAUCCGGUUACCAACAAAAGGUUUCCAAUGUUUUGAUUAAGAUUUUAUCGAACAUAAAACAAUCUGGGAAUCUGUCCACAAAAUUACUCAUCAAUCUGCAACAGAAAUGAGCUGCAAAUGGAAUCAUAUAAAUUUGAAAGGAGAAGAGCAGCUCAAAGCUCCAGACGAGGUAUUGACGUUGCCUUCAAGGGAUAGACUUUUGUCUUGGCAGCAAUCAAUGUGACUUGAACAUGACCAGAUUUAUGGCGUUCUGACGUGAGUCUCCGAGAUUAGGCACAGGUUUAAACGGUAGACCAACAGAAUAUCUUCCAUCUGUUGAUAUGCAAAAGUUCUUGUCAUAAAUGUCCCCGCAACUCUUCUCCUCUUUAGUCAAUGGAAGAGCGGCAGGAACCGAUUCCAAUUCAAAAAACUUUCGCAGAUUAUCAUCUCCUUGGGAUGUUGAGCAUAAUGAGAUAUAGUUGUUUCCAGUCUCAGAACUGGAAACAUUUCCUGAAAGUAUCCAUCCUAACUUGGAACUACAGGCAGUGGGUCCUGGAUAAUUUUGGAAUCGUAGUUUUCCUGUAUAUAAAAAUGGGGCUAGGUCUGCACCAAUUACUAAAUCAAUGGGACUUGUUUUUAUCAAAAUUGGGAUCUGCUAAUAAAGUAUUCUUAAGAUGAGGCCAAUUAUCUUUAUCAGAAAAUUAGGUAAAUCAACAGUGAUUUGAUCGAGUAUUAUGGAUGAAAUUUUGAAUAUUCUAUCAGAAAAAUGAGGCUUAAAUUGAAGAAAAGUCUCACUAGCAGACUGCUGUAUUGGUUGGUUACCAAUUCCAAAAACUGUGAGUUGGCUCUUUUUAACAGGAAGAUUCAACUUUUCACGACAAGGUUCUGUUAUUAGACUUCUUUGAGAACCAGUAUCAAUCAAAGCUCUGUAGGAAAUGUAUUAGAAAGAUAUCAACAAGUGUAUUUUCUCCAAACCCAGUGAUUUCAAAUUUCUCAUGGCUUCAUUACAUAUAUCUAGUAGUUCGAAAAUGGCCUUGGAAUUUAUUAGUUUUAAAGGUUUUAAAGUGAAUAAUUUUGUACAUUGUGAAAAGGCAAGUUCUUUUUUGUUAUCAUAUCUGGAGACCAAUGUGGCCCAAGCAUGGGCAUAGUUUUCAUCAAUAACAGGAAAUCCCCAUAUAAGUCGUUCAGCGUCUCCAGUAACAGCUGAUUGUAAAUAUUGCAGCUUUUGUGAAUCAAUUAGAGUGGUAUUAGAAUCAAUAGACAGAGAAAACAAUUGCUUGAAACUAAGCCAUUCGUUAAUAUCACCAGAAAAGGAAGAUAAAUUAAAUUUAGGAAGUUCUAUUUUACUUGUGGUUGAUUGAUUUAGAUCAUCAAUUUUGCUUGAAAUGGCUGUACAAGAUACUUUAUUGAUAUUCACCACUAAAUUUCUAAGAUUAUCAUUGUAUUGCAUAACUCUAGAAAAGUAAACUUCAUCAUCAAAUUCAGAAAAUGUUAAAAGAUUACAAUAAGUUUUUUCAAUGUUAGAUUUCAUAUCUAAAAUAUCUUGUUUAAAUGUCUGUAAAUUUGCAUCAUCCUUCGAUUCAAUUAUCUUGAGCGAAAUUUGUUCAAAAUAAUCCACUUGUUUGAAAUGAAAUUCAAGAAUAUUUAAAGUAGCUUUAAAUUUGGCAGCCAUCUUUAAUUUUUGCUAUUAUUAAUUUUAAUAAUAUAUUUCAAAAAUGAAUUAUAAUUAUUUAUAUUUAAAUAAUUAUUUAAUAGAUUUAUUCCCGGGUUUCGGCACCAUAUGUUGUUUC
rnacentral:piRNA from 1 species